GAUGAACGCUAGCGGCAGGCUUAAUACAUGCAAGUCGAGGGGCAGCGCAGUGUAGCAAUACAUGGGCGGCGACCGGCAAACGGGUGCGGAGCACGUACACAACCUUCCUACAAGUGGGGAAUAGCCCAGAGAAAUUUGGAUUAAUACCCCGUAACAUAGCGAGGUGGCAUCACAUUGCUAUUAUAGCUUCGGCGCUUGUUGAUGGGUGUGGGGCUGAUUAGAUAGUUGGCGGGGUAACGGCCCACCAAGUCUACGAUCAGUAGCUGAUGUGAGAGCAUGAUCAGCCACACGGGCACUGAGACACGGGCCCGACUCCUACGGGAGGCAGCAGUAAGGAAUAUUGGACAAUGGACGCAAGUCUGAUCCAGCCAUGCCGCGUGAAGGAUUAAGGUCCUCUGGAUUGUAAACUUCUUUUAUAAGGGACGAAAAAAGGUCUUUCUAGAUCGUCUGACGGUACCUUAUGAAUAAGCACCGGCUAACUCCGUGCCAGCAGCCGCCGUAAGAC
rnacentral:rRNA from 1 species